AUUUGACGUUUCCUUCCGCAUCGGCGGUCAGAUUGUCCGAGGCAUUUCGUGGAUCACGCAGCGCCACCGAGAACAGCGACAGUUCCUCAUUGGUGAGCAUCAGCGGCGCCAGCCGAUAGGAUAUGGNNNNGAAAGCCUGCAACGGUGGGGCUCGUAUCCGCCCGCACCGGCGAGGCCAGCACGAUGCCCAUGGGGCCACCGGUACGCAGCAGCACGAACGGAUCGGACGAGACCGGCCUGUCCUCCUCCACCGCAC
rnacentral:misc_RNA from 1 species